GACGAACGCUGGCGGCGUGCUUAACACAUGCAAGUCGAACGAUGAUGCCCAGCUUGCUGGGUGGAUUAGUGGCGAACGGGUGAGUAACACGUGAGUAACCUGCCCCUGACUCUGGGAUAAGCGUUGGAAACGACGUCUAAUACUGGAUAUGACUACCGGCCGCAUGGUCUGGUGGUGGAAAGAUUUUUUGGUUGGGGAUGGACUCGCGGCCUAUCAGCUUGUUGGUGAGGUAAUGGCUCACCAAGGCGACGACGGGUAGCCGGCCUGAGAGGGUGACCGGCCACACUGGGACUGAGACACGGCCCAGACUCCUACGGGAGGCAGCAGUGGGGAAUAUUGCACAAUGGGCGAAAGCCUGAUGCAGCAACGCCGCGUGAGGGAUGACGGCCUUCGGGUUGUAAACCUCUUUUAGUAGGGAAGAAGCGAAAGUGACGGUACCUGCAGAAAAAGCACCGGCUAACUACGUGCCAGCAGCCGCCGUAA
rnacentral:rRNA from 1 species